AUUGAACGCUGGCGGCAGGCCUAACACAUGCAAGUCGAGCGGGGUUUUCGGACCUAGCGGCGGGCGGGUGAGUAAUGCGUAGGAAGCUGCCCGAUAGAGGGGGAUACCAGUUGGAAACGACUGUUAAUACCGCAUAAUGUCUACGGACCAAAGUGUGGGACCUUCGGGCCACAUGCUAUCGGAUGCGCCUACGUGGGAUUAGCGAGUUGGUGAGGUAAUGGCUCACCAAGGCGACGAUCUCUAGCUGGUUUGAGAGGAUGAUCAGCCACACUGGAACUGAGACACGGUCCAGACUCCUACGGGAGGCAGCAGUGGGGAAUAUUGGACAAUGGGCGCAAGCCUGAUCCAGCCAUGCCGCGUGUGUGAAGAAGGCCUUCGGGUUGUAAAGCACUUUCAGCGAGGAGGAAGGGGUGUGUGUUAAUAGUACACACCUUUGACGUUACUCGCAGAAGAAGCACCGGCUAACUCUGUGCCAGCAGCCGCGGUAACAC
rnacentral:rRNA from 1 species